AGGACGAACGCUGGCGGCGUGCUUAACACAUGCAAGUCGAGCGGAAAGGCCCUUCGGGGUACUCGAGCGGCGAACGGGUGAGUAACACGUGAGUAAUCUGCCCCUAGCUCUGGGAUAGCUCCGGGAAACCGGGAUUAAUACCAGAUACGACCACUUUAGACAUCUGCUGUGGUGGAAAGAAUUUCGGCUAGGGAUGAGCUCGCGGCCUAUCAGCUUGUUGGUGAGGUAACGGCUCACCAAGGCGACGACGGGUAGCCGGCCUGAGAGGGCGACCGGCCACACUGGGACUGAGACACGGCCCAGACUCCUACGGGAGGCAGCAGUGGGGAAUAUUGCGCAAUGGGCGAAAGCCUGACGCAGCGACGCCGCGUGGGGGAUGAAGGCCUCGGUUGUAAACCCCUUUCAGCAGGGACGAAGCGAAAGUGACGGUACCUGCAGAAGAAGCGCCGGCUAACUACGUGCCAGCAGCCGC
rnacentral:rRNA from 1 species